UUUUCUUUAGUCUGCCCCACAUAUACCUGGUCUUUCCCACCCACCGGGUUUUAGUACAGCUGUUUCCCCAUUACACGGAGUCAGGAUUCAUUCAAGUGUUUGCAUUUGGGUUAUAAAUAAAUCAGCCAAUAAUUUCAUCUUCACGAACAAACCAAAGACAGACUCCUGGGACUUGGGGCUUUCUCCUCGCUCCUCGCUCUAAGCCUCUUCCUCUCUCAGUGGAGAAGAGAACUGAGCCUUACCCCAAAGGGACCUCCAGAGCCUGCUGUGAAACAGGCUGCUGACCACAGUCCGAGGGGCAGUGGUGGAGGAGUGGCAGAUCCCCAGUUGCUGCCACGCUGGCCAGGAAAAAGCGCACAGUGGUGUGGAGAGAACGGUUGGCUCAGACGAUCAGAGAAAUGAAGGCAUGGCUGCUGCUGCUGCUGCUGCUGCUGCUCAGGUACACAAUCCGGAAGGUCACGAAAAUCAGCAUCUACACCUCAGCGAGUUUGGAGAAGGGGCUGAAGUGGAAGCAAAUCAUCCCAGCUUGGUUUGCAUCCUCCUUGUAUUCAGUGCACAGGGUCUGAUGAUAGCACAGGUGCUGCCCCCAAGAUAAAUAAAUGUCAGGACACAGAGCUCCUCCUGGAUGACCCAUUCAACUCCUGGCCUUGCCCUUCCUUGAUCUUCUCCACCCCGACCAUCGUGACUUCUGGCCUACAUUCCGCAGCUCACUUCUCCAACAGAUUUUUUGUUGUGGUAAUCACUCAGAACUAGUUCACCACUGAAACAUUUUUUCAAUUUUGCGGUAAGAUAUACAUUGCAUAAUACUUACAAUUUUAGCCAUGUGUAAGUACACAAUUCAGUGCCGUUAAACACAUUCUCAACCUUGUGUAACCAUCACCACUAUUUAUACCCAAAGCUUCAUUAUCCCACCCAAAACGUUGUGCCCAUGAAAGAACAGCUCCCCACUAUCUCCUCCUUCCAGACCCUACUAACCUGUAUUCUGCUUUGUGUCUACAGACUUGCCUGUUCCAGGUACCUCAUGCAAGUGAGGAUAAAUACAAUAUUUCUCCUUCUGCGUCUGGCUCACUUCAUUAAACAUCGUGUUUUCAAGGGUCAUCCAUGUGGCGAUACACACCAACAUUUUUGCAUUCCUUUCUGUGGCUGAGUAGCAUUCCAUUGUGUGUAUAGACCACACUUUUGUUUACCCCUUCAUUUCUUUAGGGAAACUUGGCUUGUUUCUUCCUUCUGGCUAUUGUGUACACUGGUGUAUAAAUAUCUGUUCGAGUCGGCACUGAAACCCUAAAGCACAGGAUACCAUUCCCAGACCACAAUCCCUCUCUUCUCAUAAUCCCUUGCCUGGUUGUCAGGAACACAGCCCCUGGGGGUGAGACCAUCUAGGGUCUAGUCUAAGAUCUGCCAUUGACCAACAGUACGACCUUGAGCAAGUUAUUGAAGCUUUUUGCUUCAAUUUCCUUAUCUGUAAAGAUAACUCUAAGAUUGCUGUAAGAAGUACAUGUUUCUGUCCUCCGUAUAUGUUAGCAGUAAUCGUUAACACUACUCUUCCACCUUUUCAAGACCACCUCCUCGAUGCCUCCAGUUCCCCCAGAUGAGCACGCUUGGGGCUUCACUUCCUUCCCCAUCUGACCAAGAUUUGUGGUCCAUCUCUUGCAUCAGUCUUUGCCAGUACCAUUACUACCCUUGCCUUCUUGACCAAGGAUCAUAUCCAACAUCUGUAGCAGCCAACAUCUCUGUUCCAGGCUGACCAUAACUAAAGAAGAUCACAAAAUUCUACUGGCUGGUGCCACAAAAUAAAAAUUAGCUCAUUGGUCUAACCCAUUGAGAUCUUGGGAACCACAGACACUGAAUAUCUGAGAAGCACACCAGCACAAGAAGCACAGCCCUAGGUACCUUGAGCCCCUCCCUGCUGCUGCUUCUCAAGGGCAGAGCACAAGACUUGGGGACUUGCAGAGACAGACUUCUGGGUUCCCCCUGAACUCUCGCUCCUUCUCAUCUCAUUUCUGAACAAUGCUCUGCCUACUUUGAUUCAAUAGGGCCCUAUGAGGUUAACUUGACCUUAACUUGACCAUCCCCUGUAGUUCAAUGUUUGAACACAAAUAGGAAUUGUUUGAGGAUGUGAUAUUCUAAACCAGUUAAAUUGCUACUAGACUCAGCUAUAUUAACUGUUGCUAAAAUUUUUACACUCCAACUUUUAGGGAGCUUAUCAAGACAUACAGUUUUAUAAAAUUAAAAAAACAAACAA